AUGAGUCUUCGCUUAAAAGAGGCUGGGGUUAUGCUCUCCAGUUUCGCCCAAGGAUGGAGCCGCGACCGAUCAGGUUGUUGGUGAGGUAAUGGCUCACCAAGCCUUUUACCGGUGCGGGCCGUGAGAGCGGGAGCCCGGAGAUGGGCACUGAGACAAGGGCCCAGGCCCUACGGGGCGCAGCAGUCGCGAAAACUUUGCAAUAAGCGAAAGCUUGACAGGGCUAUCCCGAGUGCCAUCCGCUGAGGAAGGCUUUUACCCAGUCUAGAACGCUGGGGGAAUAAGGAGAGGGCAAGUCUGGUGUCAGCCGCCGCGGUAAUACCAGCUCUCCGAGUGGUGUGGAUGUUUAUUGGGCCUAAAGCAUCCGUAGCUGGCUAGGUUAGUCCCCUGUUAAAUCCACCGAAUUAAUCGUUGGAUUGCGGGGGAUACUGCUUGGCUAGGGGACGAGAGAGGCAGACGGUAUUUCCGGGGUAGGGGUGAAAUCCUAUAAUCCCGGGAAGACCACCAGUGGCGAAGGCUGUCUGCUAGAACGCGCCCGACGGUGAGGGAUGAAAGCUGGGGGAGCGAACCGGAUUAGAUACCCGGGUAGUCCCAGCUGUAAACGAUGCAGACUAGGUGUUUGGACGGCCACGUGCCGUUCUAGUGCCGCAGGGAAGCUGUUA
rnacentral:rRNA from 1 species